rnacentral:lncRNA from 1 species
CCACUUAGAUCCACAGACCUCCGAAAAUGUAUUUCUGGAUCCAUAAAUUUUUUAAAUUGUGUCAUCUAAGUCCAUACUCCUCCACGUGGCACCCAUGGAUGACGUGGCGCUGACUGGACAUCUCCUCUCUUAUCCCUCCCUCAGCCAUUUCAUCGAGCACCUGAUGAGCACAGCGAGCUCUAUGGGCGUGCCGCCGUUACUGCUGGACGCCCUCAUCC